GCGGGUGUGGCGAAAUUGGCAGACGCACUGGAUUUAGGUUCCAGCGAGGAAACUCGUGUGGGUUCAAGUCCCUCCACCCGCACCA
rnacentral:tRNA from 1 species